GGAUCGAUAGCUCAGUGGUAGAGGUUAGUGAUCCAUAUGUCUUACCAUCAUUCUUCAACUCCAUAUACUAACAAGCCAAACAGCGAGAGAUUGCAGAUCUCUAGGUCGCGUGUUCGAUCCACGCUCGGUCCU